rnacentral:rRNA from 1 species
UGGGGAAUAUUGCACAAUGGGGGGAACCCUGAUGCAGCGACGCCGCGUGGGCGAGGAAGUAUUUCGGUAUGUAAAGCCCUAUCGGCAGGGAAGAAGAAAUGACGGUACCUGAAUAAGAAGCACCGGCUAAAUACGUGCC